rnacentral:rRNA from 1 species
UACGUAGGGGGCAAGCGUUGUCCGGAAUUAUUGGGCGUAAAGAGCGUGUAGGCGGUCCGGUAAGUCAGCUGUGAAAGUCAAGGGCUCAACCCUUGAAUGCCGGUUGAUACUGUCGGGCUAGAGUCCGGAAGAGGCGAGUGGAAUUCCCGGUGUAGCGGUGAAAUGCGCAGAUAUCGGGAGGAACACCAAUGGCGAAGGCAGCUCGCUGGGACGGUACUGACGCUGAGGCACGAAAGCCAGGGGAGCAAACAGG